AAGGCAUUAUACAGACCAGGAAAUUGUCAACAUUAAUGUCACUUCAUCAGACUUCCGGGCCACCCUCCCAGCACAGGUAGCAGAAGGACGCCCAUAUGCCCUCUGGGCAGCAUGGACAUUUCUCAUUAGCUUUGCUUCAUGGUUAUUCUUAACAUCUGAAAUAUGUGCUAGACUUACUGAGGCAAUAUUAAACAACUGGCGAGAGGCUGAAGCACAGAAUGACCACCAAGACUGAUACUUGCUUUAGAAUAAGAGAGCAAGUUUUCUUUAAUUGUUGCAGAAAGGAAAAACAAAUGUAAUUAUUUUUAAUCAUUAACCCAAAUUUAGAGAGGAAAUUUAGCAUUUUGGCUCAUCCUGGAUUAUUAUCAAGUCACAGUUGUUCAUGACACUCUCAAAUGUCAUCUGGAGUUUUUCAAAUGACAGGUUAAUUGCAAAUUAUUUUUAGCCAUGAUAUUGUGAUUUAUUCUUUUUAAUAAAUUUGUAUGUACAGUGGUACCAUGACUUACGAGUGCCCCAACUUAUGAGUUUUCCCGAAUUUCGAGUCGUUGCUCGAUCAGUUUUUUGCUUUCAGUUAUAAGCGAGCUUCAGAUACACUGCCAUUUGCAGGAGAUACCGAGGAAAUAUCACAAACUUUGAUAAUAACCAAUGUGUAACAUCCUUUCAAUUUUGAUGCAACUGGUAGUGUCAUCCUGCCAGAAUGUUCUAUAACGCAUGCCCUAAGUAAAGAGAAACAGUUCUGGAACAUGUGUAAUACAUGUUUGGCAGGCCGGCUGGUUGGGUGGCCAGUUGACUGGCCAGCUGGCUGAUUUGAUUUGGCUGUCUGUCUGUAUCUAUCUCUGUCUCUGUGUCUCUGUCUAUCUCUGUCUCUGUCUAUCUCUGUCUCUGUCUCACAAGUACACAUAAAUACAGUUAUACAUAGUGUAAAUUAUCUAGGAUAACCCAAAAAAAUCCAGACAAAGUGUUACACUAUGCUUAUAGAUAUAAGGCAUAAUAAGCAUGACUGGCAAGUAAUACACAUUUUCACUUGUUCAGGAAUCAUGUGUGACAACUCUGCAUCAUGUGUAAUACCUGCUGGUUCAUGAAUGGCUCUCUCUGAGACAGAGAGACAAGUAGAGAGACAGGAAGUCAGAAACACAGGCAGACAGAAAGGCAUAUAAGCAGAGACAGAGAUAAACAUAGACAGAUAGACAAUGUUUAUGUGUAACAGUGAAAAAUAAGGCCAAGGCAGUGCAUGACCAUCAAAUAUCACUCCACUGCUGCCCUGUCAGCAGUGGAGUGACACUCAUCUUACACUGUGCUUCAAGGAGUUUCAUAUAUACUCCAGCAUUUCUUAAACAUUCCUGGGAACUGACAAAAAUCAUUUCUUUUUUAUAAAUACAGUUUUCUUCUUUAAAAACCUGUAAGAAAAAAAUUGGGUUUUUUUUUGGGGGGGGAACUGGAACAGAUUAAUGGCAUUUCAGUAAAUUUCAUUGAGGAAAAUUGAUUUGAUAUACGAUAAAUUGAGUCACUAGCUGGGUCACGGAACAAAUUGAACUCAUAAGUCAAGGUACCACUGUAUUAGAGUUUUCAAGUGAGUCAGAAGCUCAAGUAGAAAGUUUGUCUGUACAUAAGUAAUAACUUAAAUAAAUAUAUUUAUUU